GGGCUCGUGGCGGAAUUGGCAGACGCAGCGGACUUAAAAUCCGCGGAGGGUAAAACCUCGUGGGGGUUCGACUCCCCCCGAGCCCA
rnacentral:tRNA from 1 species